rnacentral:tRNA from 1 species
AACUUUUAAAGGAAAAUAGUAAU